ACCGUGCAAAGGUAGCAUAAUCACUUGCCUAUUAAUUGUAGGCUAGAAUGAAUGGAUAAACGAAGUAAUAGCUGUCUCUAAUAAAUUAAUAAAAACUAAUAUCUCAGUGAAGAAGCUAAGAUUACAUUAUAGGACAAGAAGACCCUAUAGAGCUUUAUUUUAAAUAUAUAAUAAUAAUAUACAAAAAUUUAGUUGGGGCGACUAAGGAAAAAUCAUCCUAAAUAAGCAAGAUUUACAAAUCAAACAAAAGAUCCUAAUAUUAGAUCAUAGAACUUAGCUACCUUAGGGAUAACAGGCUAAUUUUUCUAGAGAGUUCAAAUUGAUAGAAAAGAUU
rnacentral:rRNA from 1 species